CAACUGUCAGUUCGGUGAAAAUUUUCAUCAACCGCAGUUAGAAGUUUGCCUGCAGCUGAUACCGCUAGCUUUAUUUGUUGUUGUUGGCGAAAAGUUUAGCUUUAAAAUUUGUUUUCGAUCUUCCCAAGUAAAGUGAAGUGAUUUACUUCCGAUUGGAGUCCGCCGCAAAUGAGAAUUUGGAAUCAUCCCGAAAGAAUUAUUUAAAAACGCUGCCACUUCGGAUCAUCGAUAUUUAUGCCAAUUUCCUGAUUUUAUCCGCCUAUUGACGUUCCGGAAUGUUCCAAAAGCGCUGCGCUGCUGCUGUCGUUUCAAGCCGUGCGUUGAACAAAGCGAGAGUGAUCGCCGCGCCCGCAGUCGGAAAUAUAUGUUUGAGUAUUCAAACAAAUUCGGAAACCAGAGCAGUUUCAAUUCUGGUGCUGGGAAAUAAUGCAGAUGGCAUGGAGAAAGCAGUUUGCAUUUUGUUUAGCAGUAGCUAGGAAGUUAUUUCAGGAAGUGGUUUUACACAUCGAGAUUACAACUACUAUUUACGACUGGAAAUAAUCUAUUCCUGAAGUACUACACCCGGAAGUGCACCCAAGGGCAGGGCUAUUUAAACAUUUUCCGUAACUAGAAGUACAAACAAAACAUAAUUUUGAGGAGACCACAAAGUGAUGAAAGUGACAGAAAGGUAAUUUUUCACAUUAUAUGAUUGGUAUGU